rnacentral:rRNA from 1 species
GAUGAACGCUGGCGGCGUGCCUAAUACAUGCAAGUCGAGCGAACAGACGAGGAGCUUGCUCCUCUGACGUUAGCGGCGGACGGGUGAGUAACACGUGGAUAACCUACCUAUAAGACUGGGAUAACUUCGGGAAACCGGAGCUAAUACCGGAUAAUAUAUUGAACCGCAUGGUUCAAUAGUGAAAGACGGUUUUGCUGUCACUUAUAGAUGGAUCCGCGCCGCAUUAGCUAGUUGGUAAGGUAACGGCUUACCAAGGCAACGAUGCGUAGCCGACCUGAGAGGGUGAUCGGCCACACUGGAACUGAGACACGGUCCAGACUCCUACGGGAGGCAGCAGUAGGGAAUCGUCCGCAAUGGGCGAAAGCUUGACGGAGCAACGCCGCGUGAGUGAUGAAGGUCUUCGGAGCGUAAAACUCUGUUAUUAGGGAAGAACAAAUGUGUAAGUAACUAUGCACGUCUUGACGGUACCUAAUCAGAAAGCCACGGCUAACUACGUG